UACGAAGGGGGCUAGCGUUGCUCGGAAUCACUGGGCGUAAAGCGCACGUAGGCGGCUUUUUAAGUCAGGGGUGAAAUCCUGGAGCUCAACUCCAGAACUGCCUUUGAUACUGGGAAGCUUGAGUCCGGGAGAGGUGAGUGGAACUCCGAGCGUAGAGGUGAAAUUCGUAGAUAUUCGGAAGAACACCAGUGGCGAAGGCGGCUCACUGGCCCGGUACUGACGCUGAGGCGCGAAAGCGUGGGGAGCAAACAGG
rnacentral:rRNA from 1 species